GGGGUUGUAGUUCCGUGGUAGUAUGCUUGCCUUGCAUGCAUGAGGCACUGGGUUCCAUCCUCAGCACCACA
rnacentral:tRNA from 1 species